rnacentral:rRNA from 1 species
UUGAAGAGUUUGAUCAUGGCUCAGAUUGAACGCUGGCGGCAGGCCUAACACAUGCAAGUCGAGCGGUAGCACAGAGAGCUUGCUCUCGGGUGACGAGCGGCGGACGGGUGAGUAAUGUCUGGGAAACUGCCUGAUGGAGGGGGAUAACUACUGGAAACGGUAGCUAAUACCGCAUAACGUCGCAAGACCAAAGUGGGGGACCUUCGGGCCUCAUGCCAUCAGAUGUGCCCAGAUGGGAUUAGCUAGUAGGUGGGGUAACGGCUCACCUAGGCGACGAUCCCUAGCUGGUCUGAGAGGAUGACCAGCCACACUGGAACUGAGACACGGUCCAGACUCCUACGGGAGGCAGCAGUGGGGAAUAUUGCACAAUGGGCGCAAGCCUGAUGCAGCCAUGCCGCGUGUGUGAAGAAGGCCUUCGGGUUGUAAAGCACUUUCAGCGGGGAGGAAGGCGGUGAGGUUAAUAACCUCACCGAUUGACGUUACCCGCAGAAGAAGCACCGGCUAACUCCGUGCCAGCAGCCGCGGUAAUACGGAGGGUGCAAGCGUUAAUCGGAAUUACUGGGCGUAAAGCGCACGCAGGCGGUCUGUCAAGUCGGAUGUGAAAUCCCCGGGCUCAACCUGGGAACUGCAUUCGAAACUGGCAGGCUAGAGUCUUGUAGAGGGGGGUAGAAUUCCAGGUGUAGCGGUGAAAUGCGUAGAGAUCUGGAGGAAUACCGGUGGCGAAGGCGGCCCCCUGGACAAAGACUGACGCUCAGGUGCGAAAGCGUGGGGAGCAAACAGGAUUAGAUACCCUGGUAGUCCACGCCGUAAACGAUGUCGAUUUGGAGGUUGUGCCCUUGAGGCGUGGCUUCCGGAGCUAACGCGUUAAAUCGACCGCCUGGGGAGUACGGCCGCAAGGUUAAAACUCAAAUGAAUUGACGGGGGCCCGCACAAGCGGUGGAGCAUGUGGUUUAAUUCGAUGCAACGCGAAGAACCUUACCUGGUCUUGACAUCCACAGAACUUUCCAGAGAUGGAUUGGUGCCUUCGGGAACUGUGAGACAGGUGCUGCAUGGCUGUCGUCAGCUCGUGUUGUGAAAUGUUGGGUUAAGUCCCGCAACGAGCGCAACCCUUAUCCUUUGUUGCCAGCGGUUAGGCCGGGAACUCAAAGGAGACUGCCAGUGAUAAACUGGAGGAAGGUGGGGAUGACGUCAAGUCAUCAUGGCCCUUACGACCAGGGCUACACACGUGCUACAAUGGCAUAUACAAAGAGAAGCGACCUCGCGAGAGCAAGCGGACCUCAUAAAGUAUGUCGUAGUCCGGAUUGGAGUCUGCAACUCGACUCCAUGAAGUCGGAAUCGCUAGUAAUCGUAGAUCAGAAUGCUACGGUGAAUACGUUCCCGGGCCUUGUACACACCGCCCGUCACACCAUGGGAGUGGGUUGCAAAAGAAGUAGGUAGCUUAACCUUCGGGAGGGCGCUUACCACUUUGUGAUUCAUGACUGGGGUGAAGUCGUAACAAGGUAACCGUAGGGGAACCUGCGGUUGGAUCACCUCCUU